rnacentral:rRNA from 1 species
GACGAACGCUGGCGGCGUGCUUAACACAUGCAAGUCGAACGGAAAGGCCCUGCUUUUGUGGGGUGCUCGAGUGGCGAACGGGUGAGUAACACGUGAGUAACCUGCCCUUGACUUUGGGAUAACUUCAGGAAACUGGGGCUAAUACCGGAUAGGAGCUCCUGCUGCAUGGUGGGGGUUGGAAAGUUUCGGCGGUUGGGGAUGGACUCGCGGCUUAUCAGCUUGCUGGUGGGGUAGUGGCUUACCAAGGCUUUGACGGGUAGCCGGCCUGAGAGGGUGACCGGCCACAUUGGGACUGAGAUACGGCCCAGAGUCCUACGGGAGGCAGCAGUGGGGAAUAUUGCACAAUGGGCGGAAGCCUGAUGCAGCAACGCCGCGUGCGGGAUGACGGCCUUCGGGUUGUAAACCGCUUUCGCCUGUGACGAAGCGUGAGUGACGGUAAUGGGUAAAGAAGCACCGGCUAACUACGUG